CUUUAUCGGUCUUACUAAUAAAAAAUCACUAUACAUGCGUUAUGACAAGGUGAUAGUAAUUCAGUGAAUAGAGCUUGUACAGGGCAUAAACUCCUCUUUGACCAAUAAUCGAUGUGUAUUGGUUGAAUAACAAAACGACCCUUAUUUAUUGUUACCCUGGCAACCCGCCGUGUUUGAUUGACGUUUGAUUUAAUAAUUCUGAUACAACUCAUAAUUCUAAUGUAAGUUGUAUUUAUUUUAUCAACCAAAGCAAUUAUAUACACAUUUACUCAAUAUACUAAUAACAUUUUAUUAUUUGCAGCUAAUAGAAACUCCAAAACCUCAGACAAAGAGGACUAGAAUUUUACAUAAAAAGCCGCGUUCUGCAGUACAAAAGUUAGAAGAGGCAUCUCAAAUAGUGGAAAGUGCCAAACUCCGCAACACGGUAGUGUUCCAGUGUUUCCAGGAAGAGCACGAAA